rnacentral:rRNA from 1 species
UCCUACGGGAGGCAGCAGUGGGGAAUUUUGGACAAUGGGGGCAACCCUGAUCCAGCCAUGCCGCGUGUGUGAAGAAGGCCUUUUGGUUGUAAAGCACUUUAAGCAGGGAGGAGAGGCUAAUGGUUAAUACCCAUUAGAUUAGACGUUACCUGCAGAAUAAGCACCGGCUAACUCUGUGCCAGCAGCCGCGGUAAUACAGAGGGUGCGAGCGUUAAUCGGAAUUACUGGGCGUAAAGCGAGUGUAGGUGGCUCAUUAAGUCACAUGUGAAAUCCCCGGGCUUAACCUGGGAACUGCAUGUGAUACUGGUGGUGCUAGAAUAUGUGAGAGGGAAGUAGAAUUCCAGGUGUAGCGGUGAAAUGCGUAGAGAUCUGGAGGAAUACCGAUGGCGAAGGCAGCUUCCUGGCAUAAUAUUGACACUGAGAUUCGAAAGCGUGGGUAGCAAACAGGAUUAGAUACCCUGGUAGUCCACGCCGUAAACGAUGUCUACUAGCCGUUGGGGUCCUUGAGACUUUAGUGGCGCAGUUAACGCGAUAAGUAGACCGCCUGGGGAGUACGGCCGCAAGGUUAAAACUCAAAUGAAUUGACGG